CGGAAUCGCUCUUUAUCCUUGGGAGCACGAGGAUAACCAGACACCAGGAGCAGGCGGUGCCCGUGGCCCCGUUUAAGAGUGGGCAUCCCAUCGUGGCAUCGAAUAAUCCGCCGGAAGACAAAGUCCCUGCCCCGAAGAGAACAGCACAGGAACUGUUUUUUCUGCUGAUACCAGCCAGGAAGUUGAAAAUACAUGAAGAAGAAAAUCCAUCGAAAGAAAUGAAAAUAUUUUUGUUUCGUUUCGUUU